CUUCGCCAGCUGAUACCACAAUUGCUGACAGUGACCAGAAAGUCAGCCUCCCAGCAGCCCCUCUCCUGGCUCCACCUUUCCUCAGAGUCUUCGCCAGCUGAUACCACAAUUGCUGACAGUGACCAGAAAGUCAGCGAGCGCCUUGAGGGCAGGACACCUGUCUGUGCUGUCACCAUCUCUCCCCAGAACCAGCGUACAGCUGGCGCUCAGAGGCUCAGCGAGGACAGCCGCGGGAGUGAGUGGGACACACGUUAUACAAGAGGAAACCCUGGGCGCUGACCCUGCCCUCCCAUCCCGGAAGGGUCUCUGAGGAAGUGACGCCCUGAACACAGAGCCGGAUCCGUGGCGACCGCGAAGAAUCUUCCCUUCCCGGCAGAGGCACCAGCCAUGCAAAGGCAGGAAGGCUGCCACACCCCUAGGAAGCUGGAGGCUUUGCACGGGAUGCCCCCCUCUGGCCUGGCUUUCUCCUUUUGUGGAAAGGGAACAGUCGCCCGCCCACCCCCACAAGCGGGGAUGCUGUUCCUGGUGGUGGGUCAGGCCUCUGUGGACCCCCUCGAGUCCUGGAAGAUGAUCGUGUCUGCGGGCUUGGGGAGACGGAGAAGAGAAUGUAGACUGAACAGCUCUCCAACUCCAGACUUUGAGGCAGUAUCCUGAGGUACUUAGAAGGAAAUGACAAGCAGCCUCAUUUACAAUUGAAGGAAACUGAGGUACAACAACAAAAUAAUAAAAUCUAAUGCUUACUGAGCUCUUACUCCAAGCCAGGCACAGUGCUAAGCCCUUUGACCCAAGUUCUUUCAUUUAAUCCCCCCAACGAUCAUCACUGUCGGAAGCUAAUACCGUGACCCCUAUUUUACAAGUGUGGGAAUGAAGACUCGGGAGGUAAGUCAAGACCAUGCCUCCUGUUAAUGGGGGAUCUGGGAUGAGCAUGCAGAUCUGGCUUCAGAACCCAGAAUCAUAAA